CCUACGGGUGGCUGCAGUCGAGAAUCAUUCACAAUGGGGGAAACCCUGAUGGUGCGACGCCGCGUGGGGGAAUGAAGGUCUUCGGAUUGUAAACCCCUGUCAUGUGGGAGCAAAUUAAAAAGAUAGUACCACAAGAGGAAGAGACGGCUAACUCUGUGCCAGCAGCCGCGGUAAUACAGAGGUCUCAAGCGUUGUUCGGAAUCACUGGGCGUAAAGCGUGCGUAGGCUGUUUCGUAAGUCGUGUGUGAAAGGCGCGGGCUCAACCCGCGGACGGCACAUGAUACUGCGAGACUAGAGUAAUGGAGGGGGAACCGGAAUUCUCGGUGUAGCAGUGAAAUGCGUAGAUAUCAGGAGGAACACCGGCGGCGAAGGCGGCCUGCUGGACCGCGACUGACGUUGAGGCUCGAAAGCGUGGGGAGCGAACAGGAUUAGAUACCCGAGUAGUC
rnacentral:rRNA from 1 species